GAGUUGAGGAACAGGCCAUGAAAAAAAAAAUCACAGAGCUCCAGAAGUGGAAUAAGUAAGAGCUAGCAUUUGGAUGCCGUGGCAUUUGUUUCUGGAUGGAUCUUGAUCAUGUUUGACAUUCAAUUCUAGCCAGGUCUAUAUUUGGAGCAAGAAAAAUCAACACUUGGGACUUGAAUAGGGAGGAGUCCACUUCGGUCCUGGGCAACUUUUUAGCAAAUGAGUCCCAGGAAAAAGAAACCUAGGCCAAGGUUUCUUCCAGGGAAUAGGUCAGAGGUAAACCCGGGACACAGCUACGAGCCAGCGACUGACUGUCACUGCCACUCCCAGUAAAAAAUUCCCCGGCGCGGCCAGCUGUCGUGAAUUUCACAGAUGAGGUAACCGAGGCCCCGAGGACUAGGAGACGAGAAGACGAGAGUGAAAAUAGGGCUAGGCACUGCAAAGAAGGGCAGCCCAAGGAGGUCUUCCUGUGCCAGCCCAACGAGGUGGAAACUGGAUCUUCCUCUGAGCUUACUUCCAGUUCAUUAUCAACGGUUUCCUGCUUCCAGCCUCUCCCCUCUCCGGUCCAAACUUCAGCCUGCUGCCAUGCGAGAGAGGAGAACACGGGCCUGGGCGUCAGGUCAUGGGUUCCCAGUCCAGCUCCGCCACUUGUCUGCUGUGUGACCUUA